GACGAACGCUGGCGGCGUGCCUAAUACAUGCAAGUUGAGCGAUGAAGAUUGGUGCUUGCACCAAUUUGCAGAGCAGCGAACGGGUGAGUAACGCGUGGGGAAUCUGCCUUUGAGCGGGGGACAACAUUUGGAAACGAAUGCUAAUACCGCAUAAUAACUUUAAACAUAAGUUUUAAGUUUGAAAGAUGCAAUUGCAUCACUCAAAGAUGAUCCCGCGUUGUAUUAGCUAGUUGGUGAGGUAAAGGCUCACCAAGGCGAUGAUACAUAGCCGACCUGAGAGGGUGAUCGGCCACAUUGGGACUGAGACACGGCCCAAACUCCUACGGGAGGCAGCAGUAGGGAAUCUUCGGCAAUAGACGAAAGUCUGACCGAGCAACGCCGCGUGAGUGAAGAAGGUUUUCGGAUCGUAAAACUCUGUUGGUAGAGAAGAACGUUGGUGAGAGUGGAAAGCUCAUCAAGUGACGGUAACUACACAGAAAGGGACGGCUAACUACGUG
rnacentral:rRNA from 1 species